CCUACGGGUGGCUGCAGUGGGGAAUAUUGGACAAUGGGCGAAAGCCUGAUCCAGCCAUGCCGCGUGUGUGAAGAAGGCCUUCGGGUUGUAAAGCACUUUCAGUGGGGAAGAAAGCCUUGGGGCUAAUACCCUCGAGGAAGGACAUCACCCACAGAAGAAGCACCGGCUAACUCCGUGCCAGCAGCCGCGGUAAUACGGAGGGUGCGAGCGUUAAUCGGAAUUACUGGGCGUAAAGCGCGCGUAGGCGGUCUGAUAAGCCGGUUGUGAAAGCCCCGGGCUCAACCUGGGAACGGCAUCCGGAACUGUCAGGCUAGAGUGCAGGAGAGGAAGGUAGAAUUCCCGGUGUAGCGGUGAAAUGCGUAGAGAUCGGGAGGAAUACCAGUGGCGAAGGCGGCCUUCUGGACUGACACUGACGCUGAGGUGCGAAAGCGUGGGUAGCAAACAGGAUUAGAUACCUAGUCGUC
rnacentral:rRNA from 1 species